UACAGAGGUGGCGAGCGUUGUUCGGAAUUACUGGGCGUAAAGCGCGCGUAGACGGCCAUGUGUGUGGGGUGUGAAAUCUCCGGGCUCAACCCGGAAAGUGCGCCCGAGACUGCCUGGCUCGAGUUCCGGAGGGGGGAUCGGAAUGUAGGGUGUAGCGGUGAAAUGCGUUGAUAUCCUACAGAACACCGGUGGCGAAGGCGGAUCCCUGGAACGAAACUGACGCUGAGGCGCGAAAGCAAGGGGAGCAAACAGG
rnacentral:rRNA from 1 species